rnacentral:tRNA from 1 species
GUCUCUGUAGCUCAGCUGGAGAGAGCAACACCCUCCUAAGGUGGAGGUCGGAGGUUCAAAUCCUCUCAGGGACG